AGAGUUUGAUCAUGGCUCAGGAUGAACGCUAGCGGGAGGCCUAACACAUGCAAGUCGAACGGGAUUGAGAGCUUGCUCUCAUGAGAGUGGCGCACGGGUGAGUAACGCGUAUGCAACCUGCCUUUAACAGAGGGAUAGCCCAUAGAAAUGUGGAUUAAUACCUCAUAGUUCUGAGAGAUCGCAUGAUUUUUCAGAUAAAGCUCCGGCGGUUAAAGAUGGGCAUGCGUGACAUUAGCUAGUUGGUGAGGUAACGGCUCACCAAGGCGACGAUGUCUAGGGGUCCUGAGAGGGUUAACCCCCACACUGGUACUGAGACACGGACCAGACUCCUACGGGAGGCAGCAGUAAGGAAUAUUGGGCAAUGGACGCAAGUCUGACCCAGCCAUGCCGCGUGAAGGAUGAAUGUCCUAUGGAUUGUAAACUUCUUUUAUGCAGGAAAAACAUCCCGGUCGAGUACCGGGACUGAUGGUACUGUAUGAAUAAGCAUCGGCUAACUCCGUGCCAGCAGCCGCGGUAAUACGGAGGAUGCAAGCGUUAUCCGGAUUCAUUGGGUUUAAAGGGUGCGCAGGCGGAAUAAUAAGUCAGUGGUGAAAUCUCCCGGCUCAACCGGGGAACUGCCAUUGAUACUGCUAUUCUUGAGUACAGUUGAAGUGGGCGGAAUGUGUCAUGUAGCGGUGAAAUGCUUAGAUAUGACACAGAACACCGAUAGCGAAGGCAGCUCACUAAGCUGUAACUGACGCUCAUGCACGAAAGCGUGGGGAUCAAACAGGAUUAGAUACCCUGGUAGUCCACGCUGUAAAGCGAUGAUCACUCGUUGUUAGCGAUAUACUGUUAGCGACUGAGC
rnacentral:rRNA from 1 species